AGAGUUUGAUCAUGGCUCAGAUUGAACGCUGGCGGCAGGCCUAACACAUGCAAGUCGAGCGGUAGCACAGAGAGCUUGCUCUCGGGUGACGAGCGGCGGACGGGUGAGUAAUGUCUGGGAAACUGCCUGAUGGAGGGGGAUAACUACUGGAAACGGUAGCUAAUACCGCAUAAUGUCGCAAGACCAAAGUGGGGGACCUUCGGGCCUCAUGCCAUCAGAUGUGCCCAGAUGGGAUUAGCUAGUAGGUGGGGUAACGGCUCACCUAGGCGACGAUCCCUAGCUGGUCUGAGAGGAUGACCAGCCACACUGGAACUGAGACACGGUCCAGACUCCUACGGGAGGCAGCAGUGGGGAAUAUUGCACAAUGGGCGCAAGCCUGAUGCAGCCAUGCCGCGUGUGUGAAGAAGGCCUUCGGGUUGUAAAGCACUUCAGCGGGGAGGAAGGCGAUAAGGUUAAUAACCUCAUCGAUUGACGUUACCCGCAGAAGAAGCACCGGCUAACUCCGUGCCAGCAGCCGCGGUAAUACGGAGGGUGCAAGCGUUAAUCGGAAUUACUGGGCGUAAAGCGCACGCAGGCGGUCUGUCAAGUCGGAUGUGAAAUCCCCGGGCUCAACCUGGGAACUGCAUUCGAAACUGGCAGGCUAGAGUCUUGUAGAGGGGGUAGAAUUCCAGGUGUAGCGGUGAAAUGCGUAGAGAUCUGGAGGAAUACCGGUGGCGAAGGCGGCCCCCUGGACAAAGACUGACGCUCAGGUGCGAAAGCGUGGGGAGCAAACAGGAUUAGAUACCCUGGUAGUCCACGCCGUAAACGAUGUCGAUUUGGAGGUUGUGCCCUUGAGGCGUGGCUUCCGGAGCUAACGCGUUAAAUCGACCGCCUGGGGAGUACGGCCGCAAGGUUAAAACUCAAAUGAAUUGACGGGGGCCCGCACAAGCGUGGGAGCAUGUGGUUUUAAUUCGAUGCAACGCGAAGAACCUUACCUGGUCUUGACAUCCACAGAACUUUCCAGAGAUGGAUUGGUGCCUUCGGGAACUGUGAGACAGGUGCUGCAUGGCUGUCCGUCAGCUCGUGUUGUGAAAUGUUGGGUUAAGUCCCGCAACGAGCGCAACCCUUAUCCUUUGUUGCCAGCGGUCCGGCCGGGAACUCAAAGGAGACUGCCAGUGAUAAACUGGAGGAAGGUGGGGAUGACGUCAAGUCAUCAUGGCCCUUACGACCAGGGCUACACACGUGCUACAAUGGCAUAUACAAAGAGAAGCGACCUCGCGAGAGCAAGCGGACCUCAUAAAGUAUGUCGUAGUCCGGAUUGGAGUCUGCAACUCGACUCCAUGAAGUCGGAAUCGCUAGUAAUCGUAGAUCAGAAUGCUACGGUGAAUACGUUCCCGGGCCUUGUACACACCGCCCGUCACACCAUGGGAGUGGGUUGCAAAAGAAGUAGGUAGCUUAACCUUCGGGAGGGCGCUUACCACUUUGUGAUUCAUGACUGGGGUGAAGUCGUAACAAGGUAACCGUAGGGGAACCUGCGGUUGGAUCACCU
rnacentral:rRNA from 1 species